AUGCAUCGUACAAAGCAAAACAAAAUGUUGUUUGAUCACUGAUCAAUGCUGUUUGCGUCAUUCGGUAAGACCUACAGCUGCUAUUUAUACUGCACAAAGAGAUACGCGUCUCCAUCAGUGUGAAUUCAUCAUGCGUACGCUCAACGUUCUUUUAAUAUUCACUGUGCUAAUCGUAGCUUUAAAUUUUGCUGCUGCUACAGCUGUAAGCUCGGCAGAUGCUUAUGUCAGAGAGAGACCAUGUUGCGUCAACGAAUGUAACGUAUACUGUUGUCGCACAGGAUACAGAUAUGGACGUUGUCUAGCGCCUACCGUUUGUCGGUGUUUUUACCGGUAAUGUUCAAAUGAGAAAAGAAUCAUUCAUAUAGUUUUAUAUGUAAAAGAUUAUAAAAAUAAAACUUUCAAGCGGAAAAGGUGAAA